rnacentral:rRNA from 1 species
AACUCAAAUUUAUAAUCUGGCACCUUCGGUGUCCGAGUUGUAAUCUCUAGAAGUGUUUUCCGCGUUGGACCGCACACAAGUCUGUUGGAAUACAGCGGCAUAGUGGUGAGACCCCCGUAUAUGGUGCGGACGCCCAACGCUUUGUGAUACACUUUCGAAGAGUCGAGUUGUUUGGGAAUGCAGCUCAAAUUGGGUGGUAAAUUCCAUCUAAAGCUAAAUAUUGGCGAGAGACCGAUAGCGAACAAGUACCGUGAGGGAAAGAUGAAAAGCACUUUGGAAAGAGAGUUAACAGUACGUGAAAUUGUUGGAAGGGAAACGCUUGAAGUCAGACUUGCUUGCCGAGCAAUCGGUUUGCAGGCCAGCAUCAGUUUUCCGGGGUGGAUAAUGGUAGAGAGAAGGUAGCAGUUUCGGCUGUGUUAUAGCUCUUUGCUGGAUACACCUUGGGGGACUGAGGAACGCAGUGUGCCUUACGGCGGAUUUCUCGAGAUCUUCACACUUAGGAUGCUGGUGGAAUGGCUUUAAACGAC